GAGUCUGGCCUGUGAAUUCUUUCCUUCCUUACUUCAUUCAUUCCAUCUUUAUUGAGAGCCCACUACGUGCCCCUGUGCCCACAGCCCAGGGUGGUGGUAGGAGAGGGUUAAGAGCAGGAAUUUGGAGUUAGGACUGGAUCCAAAUCCUGGUUCCUAUUGUAUUCUCCCCUCCUGUGUGCCCUUAGACAAGGGACUUGCCCUCUCUGAGCUUCCACUUCCUCGUGGACAGGAUAGAGAUGAGCAGAGUGAGGACUUGAAGGAGGUGGAGGUCAGGGUUCAGGGAAAUGGGGCUCUUGGGCCAGACCUGACACAGAGUGGGGGGUAGGAGGUGGGUCCUCUCUUCACAUUGAGGGGACAUGCCCAGGCCCCCAGUAUCCCCGCCAACUGUGGGUCCUGGGUUUCCUGCAUCCUCCCCUGGUUUCAGACUUUGGAGGGUCCUUAACAAAGCCAAGUCGACCCCAAGGCCUCUGCCCGGGGCCUCCCUCUGGCUGGCUUCUCACCAGCCUGGCCCUUCCAAGGCUGCUGCGGAUGGCAGCCAGCGGGGCCUGCCCUAGGCUCAGUCUCCCGGCCUCCACGCCCUCCUCCCCAGCCUCCUCCCUUCCCCAGGUCCCUCUCCUCCUGGCCUGCUCCUCCCUGCUCCCAGGCUGGGCCAGAGGUCGGAGCCCUGAGGUCUGGGGGCAAGGGGCAGUCAGAACAGGACCGGGCUCAGUGCCUGGCCCUCCCUCCCCCGACAGACUUCGCCCCAUCCAGGGUGCCAGUCUGCUCUCCUUCCAAGGCCCAGAAGUGAAGGGGCUUCCGUUGCCAGACCCAGGCCUGCCGAAGGGCCCAGUGUCUUCCCACCAGAUCUUCCACCGGCCGCGUGAGGUGGGCCUGGCAGAGCCAAGUUCCGUGGGGCCUGACCGUUUACAAUCUGGGGACCCUCUUUAAGAAAACUGGUGCCAAGUUUUGCAUUCCCAUGGAGCCCAGGGCCUUGGCAGGGCCGUGCCAGCGAGAGUCCCUGGCACCAAGGCUUCGUUGGCUUCUUGGUAAGUCACCUCUGUUGUGGGUGACACAAUAGCCAUCCCUUUGCAGAGGUGGAAACAGAGCUUAGGCGGGGUCUCACUGGCCCAAGGUCACACAGCUGGAAAGAGCAAAGCUGGGAUUCGAGCCGAGGUCUUACCCCACAGGCAACAACUACCUCAGAGCACAUACCACCUCGACUGCAGGCCACAUGUCACCUGUCCCCGCGUGGGUCCAGCCCAGGCAAGGCCAGGGAGACCAGCCUGUGCCCCUCCCUCCCAAGGCCUUCAUGCCCCGAGGCUCCUUUCUCACUUCUGACAACAACCACACAGUACCAGGAGGUAGGUCUCUUCUGACCUUUUCAUUCCCACAGCUUUUCCUGCACACUCCAGAACUCCAGCUCCUCCACUGACCUUGAGGGAACACCCCCUGUUGGGUGGUGAGCUCCCUGGGGGCAGGGGCUGGAUCUGUCUGCUUUGGCCUUGCACCCCGUUCUCAGCCCAGUACAGGCACGGAGCAGCCAGUCGGAGCACAUUUAGCAGUUACAUCUCGUCCAGGCUGGAGGAGGAGGAGGCAGGGGUGGUGGAGAGGUUGUGACACUGCAGAUUGCUGGGCCUCUCCAGACCUACUGAAUCAGGCUCUCUGAGCCUAGGGCCUGGGGCUCUGCAUUUUACAGCUCCCUCGGUGCAUCUCAAGCUCAGUAAAGUUUGAGACUCAGUGACCCAGAGCCAGAAAGAGCAAAUGUGGGUCUAGACCAAGCCCCUCUCCCAAAGGGGAUUCUUUUCCCCUAAUUCUGGCUCAUUUUACCAGUGCAGCGAGCUCAUCUUCCAGCUGAGAGCUAAUCGUUUCUAAUGCUUAUUAAAGACCUACUGUGUGCCUGGGACUGGAUCAGAGGUUUCAGAGACCUGCCUCACUGGACACUCACAAAAACCCCAAGAGGCAGGGACAAUUGUUGUCCCAUUUUACAGAUGGAGAAACUGAGACCUGGGGAGGUAAAGUGACUUGCAGAGGGACACGGCACCAGGGAAGGAGGAGGCUGGAGACGGAAGGCUGUCUGCGGGCCCACUGAGCUCAGGAGCGAAACGGCCAGGGUCUCGCGAGAACAUCUGGAUCUGAGAGCGGAGACAGCAGCCUGUGAAUGGCUGGGAGAAAGCAGACACCCUGCAGAGUCGAUACAGGGACCCCGAGCUUAGAUGGCCAACCAACUCAGGCGACAGACCCCAAAGAAAUCUGAUCCAGGCGGCCUCUUCUCCCUGGUAUCUUUGGAGUCUGCGUUCUGGGAAUGUGUGUUUGCGGAAGGAUUUCACGUGUUUGCUUCAGGCAAAUCUUUGCCUUUUCUCUGCCAGCAGUUCUGGUGCAAAAGGGAAGGGGCCUGGUCAGCAAGAGGAGAGAAGCGGGGCUGCUGGCGGGCGGGCGGGUGGACACUGCUGCGGCCGCGUGCCCCCUCGGCUUGUCUGCGGGGCUGUAUCACUGACGCUCCCGGAGCCAGAGCCCUGUGCAAGCGCAGCAUGACUCCCACUCCAGGAGGGCAGUCGAGGCCCCGGGAGGUUUCCAGCGGGGAGGGGCCGAUUUACUGGCUGCUGCCCCUGGUCCCUGAGGGGGAACACCACCCAGAGAGGUUGGUUUUGCCUCACAAGAUAAAUGAUCUAAUAGUCAAGCUAGGCUUGUAGGUAGUGAGCGCUCCACCUGAGGAGAUAUUCAAGAAUUGGUGAGGUGCGUGCGUGCAUGCGUGUGUGUGUGUGUGUGUGUGUGUGCAUACAGAGCCAUGACUCGGGAAAAGCAUUGGCUGAGGCAACUUGCAGAGCUUUUUCAGUGUUGAGAGCCUGGGAAUUUCCAUUCCUAACAUAACUGAGCAGCCUAAGUGGGGCCAAUGUGAAAAACGAACAGAGGGAAGGUGGCAGGUUAAGGUGCCCAGGCUGGGAACCGCAGACCCUGGAGAGCCCCCAGGGCCACCGAGCCAAGCCCCCAGCCCUUGGCCUUCCAACAGAACUGCCAUUUCUGGAUGUUCCCAUGUGCUGCUCUCUCUUGCAGUCAUCCGCAAAUGCCCAUUAACCUUUCAUUAGAAUGAUUAAUAAUAAUAUUACUGAUAACUCACGAUCAAUGCCGUAAUACCUAGGAACUGAGCGCUUACUGAGACAGGCUCAAUUCUAAGUGCUGUGUAUGUAUAAACACACGUAGCAGACAUGACAGUCUGUGAGCCAUGUCCUUACAUUUACUCUCAUUCCCGUUUUACAGACCAGGACACUGAGGCUCAGAGAGCUGACCUUCUAAGCCAGAGGACUCAGAGCCAGGCUCAGGAAGGGAGCUGGGAAAUGCCGGUGGAGGGCCGAGGACCCGGGCCACUCCCAACCCCGGGGGACAGAGCAGCAGAACCCGGAAUGGGAACGGGGAGAGGGGACUAUCUCACCCAGCGUCCUCAUUUUACACUAGAGAAGCGCGUUUCAGAGAGGGGGAGAGCCGUGUCAAGGUCGCCAGCAGGUCCACUGACCAAUCGCUGGGUCUCCUGACUCCUCCACGUGGGCUUUUGCUGCCCUCCCACAUCCGAUUCCUCUUUAAAAACGAUAUUUUAAAGACUAUUAGGAGUGACACAUCACUCAGUGAACAUUCCUAAAGGAACGGGAAGACGUGACCCGAGCGAGCGGUUGCCGUGGGCCAGGUCACGUGUGCGGAGGUCAUGCUGCUGUCACCUGAAAGUGGAGGGAGCACGGCUGCUCCCUGCUGAUGUCCCAGCAAGGGGUCAGGUGGAUGCUGACGGGGGUAUGAAGGCGCCUUAGAGACCGGAAGACAUGGUCAACAGGAUCCUCUCUGAAUGUUGGGCACAGGAGUUAGAAGUAAGGCUGUGGCUCAUCCCGGGGAAACCGAGUGACAGUUAGGGCCCAGAAGAAAUUGGUUCUUCCAGGGCGGGAUCCUCCCUAGAAGGUGUCCUGGGCCCCCGUUCAAAACCGUGUCCUGAGCAUCCGCCGCACGCAGCAGCAUGGUCAGCCCAGCGGCUUUGAGCACAGUCUCUGAGUCCACACCCCGGGGCCUGAGUUCAAGUCUGGCCUCACGGGUCCAGGCUCACGUGGGCUCAGUGUCUCAUUAGGAUGCGCCCGCCCACUCUUGCAGAACCCAAGAAACAGCGGGUGGAGCAGAGAGGGGCUCAUUUCCCUCCCGUGUGGGUCUAGGGGGCUCUGCCCUGGGAGCUGGUCCAGGGCCCAGGCCCCUUCUGUCUCUCCUAUCUACAAGGCCAAAGAUGGCCACCACCUCCCCACCUCCAUUCUUUCCUCACUGUGUUGGGGGAACCCAGGAGGUGGGAGACGCCUCUUCUUUUUAAGGGCAAGGUGGAAGGUGCAUGGUUCAUCUCUCUUACGUCCCAUUGGCCAGAACUGAUCACAUGACAACACCUAGCUGCAAGGGAGACUGGGAGAUGUAGUAUUUAGCCUGGCAGCCAUGUGUCUCAUUAAAACCCAGGAAGGGAUGUUGUGUUACUGAAGGAGAGAUGGCAGAAUGGAUACUGGGCAAUAGCCAGCAGCCUCUGCCACCUGGGAGUCAGGGAGAUACUUUGGGGAGAUGCUCAGCACAGGGCCAGGUACAUGGCUGAUGCUCAGGAAGUAUGUGCUGUUAUCAUUGGCAUUACAGACGGGGGUUGUUUGAACUUUCCCAAGGGAUGCAGGGACCUGCUGAGGCCCAAGCCCGGGGAGAGCUCUGGCUGCAUCGUGGGGGCCUCCAUCCCUGCCUUGCGUCCUCUAGGUGAUGAGGAGAAGCACUGAGAGACAGCAACCCCCAGCUCAACCCCUCAGGGCCCCACGGCCCAGGCUAGGGAGCAUCUCGGGCCUCCUCCCUCCCUUCAAGGAAAACAUAGAAAAGCAGCUUAGUCUUCAGGGCUUGGGGACAGGAGAGCCAGGUGACAUUGGGGGUCUUGCAGCCCUGCCCCACGGCUGCCUUCAUGGAGCAUGGCAGCCUCCACCAGCCCAGAGCAGGAGGCCAGGGUCCACCUUGCAGACCCCAGCCUCUCAAACUCUGGUCAGAAGGCCAGGCAGGGCUCUCUGUCCCUCCUGAUGCAGCACCAGGUGAUCUGAGCUCAGAAACGUCCCCUCCCGAAACAUUCUGCUCUGGACCUGAAGCCCUUCCCAGCCCGAGGAGGACUGGUGGGUGGCAGCACCUCCACUGAGCACUGCAUCCCCGUGGGUCCAGCUCACUCCCAGCCGGUGGGUGGGAGGGUCUCUUCUCCUGCCUUCGCUGGGUACAGGGUCGGGAGCUGAGACCCCCGGAUCAGAGAACCCCUGACUCUGCCUCUUAGCAGCCACGUAAGCUGGUCUCUCCAAUGAUGUUGAUGUUGAUGACCCAAUUAUGAUGGUGAUGGAUGAUGAUAAGGGCAUCCAUAUCUCCCUCUUUUUGUAAAGAUUAUAAAAGAAUCCAUGCAAGCAGCUUGCAGAGAGAAAGACCUCAAGGAACCGUGCCUGCUCAGAUCAGGAUUAUGACUGUUACUCUCUUUCAUCCCUUCCGCAGUCCUUGACUGUCUACCGCCUGUCCACAACUCCCUACUGGUGAUGUCCUCCCAUCCUGCAGUCUACACGGUUCCAGGCCUGGGUGGGGCCCAUAAAGUGAACAAGACAGUAGUGGUCCCUGCCCACAUGGAGCUCCCAGCCCGAGGAUGACAGUCCAUCCCACAGCAAGGGGAUUCUCCCCAGAACUGCCGCGGCAGGAGUGAUCCGAGGACCCGCUCAAGGAGCGCCAGGCUAGGAGUCGGGCCUCUGCUCCCGUGUGAGCCUCAGUGGCAGAAGAGGAAUCGGGCAGCUGGUCUGCAGACUGGCCCACCCUGUGGGAAGAGCACUGGACGGCGAGUCCCAGGCAGGCUGUGGCAGGGCCUCGCUGUGCACCUGGCCCAGGCGUGCCGCCUCUCUGGUCAUGCGGUGGGGGCUGGCUGAGCCCCUCCUGGCCUGGCCCCUGUGGGCCACAAUCUCUCAUGUCAACUGCAUCCCACCGUGAUGGUUCUCGGCAGCUGGUCGUGGCAGCUUCAGAAUCUCGUCCUUUUCAGGACCUCAUUCUCAGGUUAGUUCGCACUUUCUAGAAGUUUCUCUGAGUGGAAUCACACAGUACACAUUCUUCGUCGCCUGGCUCCCCUCACUCAGCAUAAC